rnacentral:rRNA from 1 species
GGUAACGCCCUCGUUUGAGUGUAUUCCUCCGGGGAUAUAAUCAACCGAGGAGGGGAGGAUCCUAUGGUCCUUUCAAUAUAUUACCACUUCUUUGUGAAUAAGGGUGGAUUA